AAGAACACUUACCUUCUGUAUCUUCAUGAGUAUUAACUAUGCAUAUUCAUCAACCCCACGCCCUCUAAAGCUGCUGAAGGGCAUUUGGACAAUGUCCUUAAUAACAUGCUUUAACUUUUGGUCAGCCCUGAAUUGAGCAUGCAGUUGGACUGGAUGAUGACUCACAGAAUAUUCUGAGUUGGAAGAGACCCACAAGGACCACUGAGUCCAACCCUGAAGUGAAUGGCUCAUGCAGAGAUCAAACCCAAACUUGGUAUCUUCAGCACCGUGCUCUGACCAACUGAUCUACUCUCAGAGUCCAUUCUGUUCCCUUAAUUCUCCUCCCAGACCCAAAUAAACUUCUCAGUCAGUUUUCCCACUGCUCA